CGUCGCCACCGGUAAAAUCAAUAUCAAUUUGAUGAGUAAGUAGACCAAAUCAUAAAGAACAUGCUUCUUUGUUGCAACAAGCAUAAUAGAGAGCUCACCAAUAUUACUUGCAUUUCUAAACCUAUCAUCUUGUCUCAUAUCAUCAAUGAAAGUAGUAAGUUGAAAUUCUAGCCUUAUCAAAUCUGUGCUUGAUAUGUCCAUGGGAUAGAAUUCAGCAAGUCUCAUUACCUUGAGUGCAUCAUAAGAAGCAAAUGAGUUGAUUGGAUUCAAAGCCGACAUGCAAAUAAGCAACUCCGUAUUAACCUCAUCAAACCGAUUGUCAAGCUCUUGAAUGGUUUGAUCAAUGACACCAAGAUAUACCUCUCUUCUAUAACGAUCAUCAUUUGUUUGUACUUCAUAAUACGGACGUGAUCUUCCAUGAUGCUCAUAAGUAUCCUCCCA
rnacentral:rRNA from 1 species